rnacentral:rRNA from 1 species
AGUGAACGCUGGCGGUAGGCCUAACACAUGCAAGUCGAACGGCAGCACAGUAAGAGCUUGCUCUUACGGGUGGCGAGUGGCGGACGGGUGAGGAAUACAUCGGAAUCUACUUUUUCGUGGGGGAUAACGUAGGGAAACUUACGCUAAUACCGCAUACGACCUACGGGUGAAAGCAGGGGAUCUUCGGACCUUGCGCGAUUGAAUGAGCCGAUGUCGGAUUAGCUAGUUGGCGGGGUAAAGGCCCACCAAGGCGACGAUCCGUAGCUGGUCUGAGAGGAUGAUCAGCCACACUAGAACUGAGACACGGUCCAGACUCCUACGGGAGGGCGCAGUCGGGAAUAUUGGACAAUAGGCGCAAGCCUGAUCCAGCCAUACCGCGUGGGUGAAGAAGGCCUUCGGGUUGUAAAGCCCUUUUGUUGGGAAAGAAAAGCAGCAGGUUAAUACCCCGCUGUUCUGACGGUACCCAAAGAAUAAGCACCGGCUAACUUCGUG